CGGACCAUAAGGCAGUACACUGCCGAAAUCGUCUGCAAUCCGGUCAGCAUCACGCAUAUGGUGUGACGAUUCUUCAAAUGCUGCUUCGCAGCACCUCA
rnacentral:ncRNA from 1 species